CACAUGCGGCCAUUGCCGGGUCACGUAGGUUCGUUCGCGUGGUCUUGUUACGCCUCGCUGGAUCGUGUACAGUCAUGCCGUCCUUGCGCGGCGUGAUUGUCGGUGAGUCAGGUUAAAUUCUUAAAUAGGUCGCGCCUGUGCCUAAUUGAGUCUAUAAAAGCCUGCACAUUCAGUUUUGCUAGCUACAAUGCAGUGCGGCUGGCGUGAGCUGUCUCCACGAUGCGCUUCGAGCGUGUCGAUUUCGCCGUUCUUUAUGUUGGCGUUAAGGACCUUGAAAGCAACAUGGAUCCACAAGAAAUGUGCGACAACAUCAAGGCCUUGAUUGUUCAACGAGACGGCCCCCGUCGUGCUGGUUUUCAAGGUGCUCCCUCGCUGCCUAGAAGAUGCUGAUGCGGAAUAGAAAAUGCAAAAACGUCGCUUGCUCAACCGCAAAUUGACGGCUACGCUGAAGCGCAUGCCGUGUCUGCGGAAUUUGAACCCCGAGCUUUCCAGAGUUCCUUGGAAAAUCCUCCCAUGCACCUGCCAUGUACAUUGCCCUCCUCCUCGAUGUGGCGUGCAAGAUGGCAGCAGCAGCUGAAGAGGCGAAGAAAGGUCCACUUUAUAAUAGGUUGUAUGUAAAUAAAACUGAUCGACCUCA